AUUUUAAAACAAGUAUGUUUUUAAUUUUUUCCAAAUUAUACAAGCACCCCAUAAUAAAUAAAAGAAAAUAAACAUUCACAUUAUUGAUAUAUAUAUGUUUGUCUCAUAUAAUAAAUACAAAUUUAUAUUUACAUUAUUGUAUUGUUAUAACUGUAGAGGGAGCUUAAAGACAGUUGUGAAGAAUUAGAAAAUACUGUAAGUUUGAUUUUUUAAAUAUUUUAUCUGCAGGGACAGAAUCUUUUAUGCUUUACCCCCUCACUCUCAAUUUUAAAGCAAAUUGAAAAGAAAAUAAUUCUUUUUAGUAGUCAGUUGAAAGAUUUAAAUUGUAUACAAGUACAACUGUAGAUGCCAACCAUUUAUCAAGUUUAUUUACCUUUAACUUUUUUAUUAUGCAGGUGGACAUUUUGAUAUACUUUAUAACUUAUCUUUAUAACUUAUAAAUCAAUGAAAAAAAAAAGAUAACACUAUCUCACAAUAUUUGUUUUUUCAUUUAAUUUUGUUUGCAAAGAAAGCUUAUCCAACCCAAAUGCUUAAUUUUGUGAAACAAAUGUUUGUUUUUUUCUCUUCUUUAACAAGAAAAACAAAACGUUACAGUGAUACAAUGAUAUUAUGCUUCUUUGACAUAUGAAUAAACAAUGACAUUUAUUUAACUACUUUAAAACAACAUAUACAGAUGUAUCCACACCUAUAUUGGAACAAAACAACAGUACAAAAAAAAAAAAAAAAA